ACGCCUGAUGGAUGAAAAAUGGGGAAGAUAUGUGGACAAGUCUGUUGGGCUGAAUAUCGACCUCGGAUUCGGGCCAGGCCCAGAUCCGGGUCGAUCCAAAGAUUUACCCAAAUUUGAUUCGAAAAAUAAAUGAGCUUUAUAAUUAAGCCCACACUCGAUCGGAAUUAUUUCGGAUCCGAAAUCAGACCGGCCCAAGGCCUAUCGGACCGGUUCGAGCCCAGUUCCAACCCUAUUCCCCUAUAAAUAAACCCCGCUCCCAGGAUCGUCCAUUAGAGCACCGUCUCUGUACUCUUCCUUCUCGGCCACGGCCGCCGCCGCGGUCGCGGCGAAGGCGGCACCUCUCCUCUCCGGCGUCUUUGAUCGACGAAAACGUCGUCUCCGCUUUUCCGGUGGCUCUGAUCGGUGAGAUAGCUCCGUUCUUGGCCAGCCCAUCCUCUAGUCUCCAUCUUUCGUUAACUCCCUUGGUUCCUCUUCCUCCAAUGUGAUGCCUGCGGUCACUUUAAGUCCUAUAAGUCAUUGAUGUUGCCAUCUUACAGAAUCAUAUGAGCUUUGUGAGGAAAAAGGUAUCCUUAUUGAUGAAUUCUGAGAUGUUACGAGCCUAUGCAAGAUCAUCUGAGCACCAUAUUGGGGAUGAAUAGUAACUACAGUGUAAGGCGCAUGGGCGUAUGAUGGUGAAGGCUCGAAUGAGAAAUUCUGAAGAAUUAUGGCCAAAGCCAUCUUAGCUUCCAUCAUGGCAAAGCUCUGCCCAACACAAAUUCGGGGACCCCAACCAAACGGAAGGAAGGCCCCUUGAAUCUUUGAUGCCUUUGAAACUCCACUAGCAAACCUCUCUGGAUUGAAUUCACUGGCAUCUUCUCCCCAAAAUGCUGGAUCGUGGUGUAUCAAGAGUAUAGGCAGAUAGAGUUGCACUCCUGGGGGAAAGGAGAAAUCUCCCAGUUUCAUUUUCUUGUAGGUUUCCCGUACGACAGCAGACAGUGGUGGAUACAAUCUAAGAACCUCAUACAAAAUCAUAGUCGCCUGCAAUAAAAAUUUGAAAGAUUCAGGGA